GGCGAGAUGGCCGAGCGGUCUAAGGCGCCAGACUAAGGAGGUUUGUGGCUAUCUGGUCCGAAUAGGGCGUGGGUUCAAAUCCCGCUCUCGUCA